rnacentral:tmRNA from 1 species
CCCCUUUCAAUCAGGUCGACCAGCUUCUAUAUUGAGCGUGCCGGCUUGCCGGCUAUGGCGAUAAAUGGUCAGUGCAAUAAGCCUAUCGGACCCGGGGGCGGUACCCGGCGCCUCCACCCAAGCCCGCAGGACGAUCAUCGUCCGGCGGGUUUCGGCGGGGGCGAAACAGGAUCGACGAGGGUGUAAAGACUGUUCUUUCGCUCGGCAUGGUACCACCGACAUCGGACCAAACUUAUAGUUGCCAAUGACAACUAUGCUCAGGACGUCGCUCUCGCCGCGUAAUGCGGUGCGGGUUGUCCACUCAAAGCCCUGACGGGUAGCACCGUCAGGCGGGGUCCGGAGGCACCUGGCAACAGAAGCCUCCACU